UACGUAGGGGGCAAGCGUUGUCCGGAAUCAUUGGGCGUAAAGAGCUCGUAGGCGGCUGUUCAAGUCGAACGUGAAAACUCGGAGCUCAACUCCGAGCCUGCGUUCGAGACUGGAUGGCUAGAGUCUGGUAGGGGGAUCUGGAAUUCCUGGUGUAGCGGUGGAAUGCGUAGAGAUCGGGAGGAACAUCAGUGGCGAAGGCGGCCCUCUGGACCAGUACUGACGCUGAGGCACGAAAGCGUGGGGAGCAAACAGG
rnacentral:rRNA from 1 species